UUUUAGGAUCACAAUCCAUAUAGCAAUGAAAAUGUCAAAAUUAGACCCCNACAAUAAUAUAGUAUUCAAAUUGCAUCUAAAUCUAGAUAUAAAACAAUCUUCUCUUCCACCAAAUCUUCACUAUACAACCUUCAAAUUCCCAUCUUUGGAAAGAGAAAAAGGCAAAAAAAUCUCUCUCUUCCAUUGCAACAACUCAGAAUGACACCUCCUCAAAUCUCUUCUUCAUCUCAAUCCCUUCUUGAAGAUGAAGAACAACCCAACACCCCCAAAACCCCAACCCCCACCCCCACAAAAAAAAUCCAUGAAAUUAGCUCUAAUCCCACUUAUAUUCAUAAUCUUUUUUGAGGUUUCUGGUGGGUAUUAUGGUGCAGAAGCAGCAAUUGGUGCAGCUGGUCCUUUACUAGCAAUUCUUGGAUUUUUAAUCUUCCCAUUUAUUUGGAGUGUACCUGAAGCUCUUGUUACAGCUGAACUUGCCACUACUUUCCCAGGUAAUGGUGGAUUUGUCAUUUGGGCUGAUAAAGCCUUUGGCCCAUUUUGGGGUUCUUUAAUGGGCUCGUGGAAAUUACUUAGUGCUGUUUGUAACUUAGCUUCUUAUCCAGUUCUUUGCUUAGAUUAUAUUAAGUUGGUUUUUCCUAUUCUUUCUUCUGGUUUUCCUAGGUAUAUUGCUAUUUUCUUGAUCACUAUGUUCUUGUCAUUCUUGAAUUAUUUAGGUUUGUCUAUAGUUGGUUACACUGCUGUUGUACUAGGUGUACUUUCCCUUUGUCCAUUUUGGUUAAUUACCUUAUUUUCAAUUCCCAAGAUUGAUCCUAGUAGAUGGUUAAGUUUAGGCCAAAAGGGUGUUAAAAAAGAUUGGAACUUGUUCUUUAAUACCCUUUUUUGGAACUUGAAUUUUUGGGAUAAUGCUAGUACUUUAGCUGGUGAAGUUGAACAACCUCAAAAGACAUUUCCUAAAGCCCUUUUUUCAGCUGGAAUUGUUACAUGUUUUAGUUAUGUGUUACCCCUUUUGGGCACUACUGGAGCUGUGCCAUUGGAACAAGGUAAAUGGACUGAUGGUUAUUUUGCCAAUUUGGCUGCUAUGAUUGCUGGGAAUUGGUUGAAAUAUUGGAUGGAACUUGGAAUUGUGUUGUCAGUUAUUGGUUUAUAUGAGGCUCAAUUGAGUAGUUGUGCUUACCAAAUUCUUGGAAUGGCUGAAAUGGGGUUGUUGCCUCGAGUUUUCGGUGUAAGAUCGGAAUGGUUUAACACACCUUGGAUUGGAAUUUGUGUACCAACAUUAGUAGCAUUGGUUGUGUCAUACUUGACAUUUGCAGACAUCGUAUCAUCUGUGAAUUUCUUGUAUAGUCUUGGGAUGUUGCUCGAAUUCGCGUCGUUUUUGUGGUUGAGAAGGAAAAUGCCUAAUGCUAAAAGACCAUAUCAAGUGCCAUUGUCAAUGCCAGGACUAUUGGUUAUGUGUUUUGUUCCUUCUUGUUUUCUGGUUUAUGUUAUGGUUGUUGCUCAUAGGACUGUGUAUAUAGUCAGUGCAUUUCUCACUGUUUUUGCCAUUGCUUGGUACUUUUUCAUGGAGUUUUGUAAAACCAGAAUGUGGUUUGGUUUUGAAAGUGCUCAAGACAAGGUUGAUGAUGAGGAUUUGUAAUUUAAAUUGGAAAUAAUUGUUGGUUUGAAUUUGUUUAUUGUUUUUGAUGUAUGUAGGAUUUAAGUUAUACGUGUAGUGUUAGUAUUGUAUUCUAUUAUUGUUAGAUUUUUUUUAGUAUUACUUGUUAUUCCUUUCGUUUCGUUUUCUUACUGUCUUGUUGUUGUUACUGCUUGGUGCUACUGCUUUUCUUUGCGUCUUUCGUGAGCCAAAUAUCUAUCGGAAACAACCUCUCUACCUAGAGGCGUAUCCAGGAUUUAAACCCUAUGCGUUCAACUUUUACGGUUUUUAGCAUGGAACCCAUUAUAUUUUUAAAGUUAUGAGUUCAUAUCUACUAUUUUUGCAAUUUUAAUAAAUUUUUAUAUACAAAUUUUUAUUCCACGUCGAAAGUUAGGGGUUCAGUUGAACCCGUCCCCAGAACACUGCAUCCGCCUCUGUCUCUACCUUCAAGGUAGGGGUAAGGUCUACGUAUACGCUACCCUCCCCAGACCCCACUUGUGGGGUUACACUAGGUUUUUUUUUUUUUUUUUGUGCACUAAUAGUUUAACCAACUAUAGUUAUUAUCCUGUUUUUCGAGUUACCAUAGCAAAUUUCUUAUGAAGACUUACCUAUUAUUGUAGAUCAAGUUAAGUGUUGUUGCGCAACAUAUUUAUUGGACCGAUAUGGGCAAAGAUACGAAAGAAUUC
rnacentral:lncRNA from 1 species